UCUCCACUAUGGUCUGUUCGUUAUUGCACAUGAAACUGAACUGGUUCUCUCUCUAAUGGCCUACAUGUUCACUGCAGGUGUAAAGCUCAUGGGUUACCCUCGGAAGAAAUUGCCGAGUUCAAAAGGAGGAAAGCUGCAAAACUGCUUGAGAAAAAGGCCUAGAUCUGAGCCACAACUGGUCAGACAUGCUGACCAGGAAACUCAAAUUUGUCCUGAGGAACACAAAGAGGACACUGACAAAAGCAACCUUUAAAGAACUGGGGAGCCUGAAGGAGACUGAAAUGAGUCUUGAAGAGGAAGAAAUCUAAGAAGAACACAGCAAAGAACUAGUAAGACCAGGAUGAACAGUGUGAAGUCAACCCCAGUAGGGAAGUCCAAACCCUCCAUUUAAUUCCCUCCCAGCCAAAAGCAGUAUAAUUGCUGAAGCCUCUUAGCUCUUGCAGGGGAAGAGCCUGAGAAGGCAGAUGAACCCCAAUCACCAUUUCUCAUUGAAACUGGGCACUGGAUCAGAGCUUUAUUCACCAUUGUUCCAUAUGUGGAAUUUUUUGACUGAUGUCCAUUGGAAGGAAAGCAAUGGUGCUUUCCUUCAUCAGCACCUCAGUCACAACGAUGGGCCCGAGGCAUAUUUUAGGUAGGUCAGCGUGGCAGCACAAACAUAUCCAGCUGCACUUGGGUCUGUAUUAGAACAAUAAUGCCAAGUGUAAACUCAUUAACCAUUUUGCAAUAAAUAGGUUUGUUGUUAUAAGAAAUGCUGGUUAAAAAAUAAGAUCAACACAAUUCAGAAGAAAAUGUUUUUGACUACAAGAAAAAAGAUUUUUACUCCCCCACAAAGGGAAAUUUUGAAUCAAAAGGCUUUGUUGCUCUAUGCCAAUUUAAGCUGAAACAUUUUCUUUUGAAUUGACAUUUCAGCUGCAAAUGCCAUUUUAAUGCUAUUUGCAAACUGAAAUGACUGUUUUGAAAUGAAGCAGUUCGGUAUGAAUCAAUAUUUGUUUCUAAAUGCCAAAAUGUGAUCUGAUCAAAAUGCCAAAACAUGUCAUCUUCGCAAUCCCAGAUAUCAACUGGAAGAACAUUUUUUUCUUUAUAAACACAUACAUAUAGCAUAUCUAAAACAUUUUAUGCUUUUCAUCCCAGAGCAGGAUGAAAAGAGAAUGUCAAGAUACUGGAAAACUGAGAUGUAGAGAAUGAUGUUCUACAGUCCCUUUAGCUGAGUGAUACUAAUAAGACUAAUGAAUUUUCUUACCUGCAGAAGUGAGGCAAAGGGAAGGAAAAGUUCAUUAUUUAAUCAGUAGAAGAAGCCUAAAGCAUCACAGUAUUUUUCCUUCACGAUCUCUAAGUAGUGUCAAAGCCACUAAUAUCUAAAGUAAGCCUCACAGUGGGUAAAAAUAGCUUCCUACAAAGGGCCAGCAUUUGGCCUGUAGGCACUUCCCACAGAGAACACUUCAUCAGAGUCAAAAAUUUUUAUUGUUGGCCACUUCUUCUUCCAGAUUUUUUACUUCUGUUCACUGUCUGGCUUCUAACAGACUCCUGGAAAUUGUUGUUGUUUCUCCAGCCAGGCUAAAGAGAACUGCAGAUAUGGUAAUUUAAUCAAUAUUACCACCAGAAAGUGCUCGUUGAAAACACCAAGACCUUUCCCAAGCCCAAUUUGAACUCAUCAACACUGCACCCAGAACAGGUUUUUACCAGUUAGAUGACAAAUAACAGUGAACAACUCUCUUACGUUAUUGCAGAUGACUUUAUUAAAGAAGGCAAGCCAAACUCCACAAAUCUCAGAAGGAUACUAAGUGAACAGCUAAUUCACCAUAGCAAGUAUAAGACGUGCACUGUCAAAGUAAAAGCUGUUCAUGCUGUAUCUAUCUGAAGAGUGAAAAUGGGUCUAGUAUCUACAAUACCCAGACUGAGCUGAUAAGUAAGACACCGGAGCAGUUUUGCACUGGCAGCUGGAGGCCAGACACCAAACCUUAAGAUCUGAAAUAAUGCUAGGCAGAUAUGUUUAAUGAAAUACACCUUUAAAGUUAGGUGUCGUAACCCCAAAGUGAAACCCAUCCCAGAUAUCCUCAUUCAAAUGGAUGAAUCGUGCCCUAAAAGUGCUUGCCAUCGACUGUAACAGAAUCUGCACCAGUGGAGAAACCUGCAUCAUGGAUGACUAAAGUCAAGCUAGAUCAACCUCAUUCCCACAUAGUUCAUCACCAGUUUGGAGGAAGUGCUGGACUCCCUGACAUUUUCCCUGGAAAACUCCACCACUGUGCUUGUCUAGAUGGCAAGUAUGUGCUAAUCCUCUCUGAGACACUUCUUAUUCCCAGCACACAGGCAAAGCGGAUGUAAAGGAAAAAGCAUGUGAGCAGAAAACAUAAAAUCCUGAAAAACUUCUGAUUGAUCCCUUUAUCUGGUAAUGUGACAGCAAGCAGGAGAGAGAAAGACUUUCUACUUCUGAUAUAUGUCAAAUUACACAUUUGUAAAUGUAUGAGAAGGAAAAACACACAACAAACAACAGCAAAACCCAACACACUUCUUCAAACUACUGCUAUGUAUGUAUUCUCUCAAUAUCUACACAUAUGCACAGAUACAUAUGUAUUUGAAUUUUGGGGUACCCAGUGUUUUUGUUAGUCUGAGACAAUUUUAAGAAAAUGCUGGGUAGCUGCAAACUGAAUUCUUCAGACGAAGAACAUUUAAACAAGAAGAUUUCAAUCUGCCCUUCUGCACACAGUUUUUGAAUUCCUUCUUCAGCAUGCUGUCUUCAAAAAUAAACAGCAUUCUUUGAAUUUAUUAAAAAACACAUAAAAUAGUAGAUCUGUGGGAAAGGAGAGCAGAAAGGCAAAGUUCUGAUCACUGACGACUUCAGUAAUCCCAGGAUAAUUCUUAAUUCUCUUUGAAGCCAGUGUAGUUUUUUUCCCCCUCUUAAUUUCAACAGGAAGAAGCCAAGGACUCAUCCCCAAGUGUGAUAACCUCUGCUGUUAAAAAGCCAUAAAAUAUAUUUAUAUUUUCCUGGUAUUGUUCUGUUUAGACAGGUUUAGGUUUACUCGUGAGAUUUCUUCCCACACUAAACAUAAUUACUGUAUCACACUCCUCUCUUGUUAUUCUGCUCCUAAAAAUAGUGUUUGGAUGUUAUGAUGUUAAGAUGGGGCCUGGAAGCAGCAAAUGUAAAUCUCGUAGCUCUGCAGCCAACUUUUCAGGUGAUUGUGGGCCGGUUGCUUGGUUGAUUUCUUGGAUAGUGAAGCACCCACUCUAGAAAACACCAUUGCAGGAGGGUUUACUGCUAAUGUUAUAGGGUAAAAUUAAAUGUAAUCAUGCAAAUCUGCUGA
ensembl:lncRNA